rnacentral:rRNA from 1 species
ACCUACGGGGGGCAGCAGUGGGGAAUAUUGCACAAUGGGGGAAACCCUGAUGCAGCGACGCCGCGUGAAGGAAGAAGUAUUUCGGUAUGUAAACUUCUAUCAGCAGGGAGGAAAAUGACGGUACCUGACUAAGAAGCCCCGGCUAACUACGUGCCAGCAGCCGCGGUAAUACGUAGGGGGCAAGCGUUAUCCGGAUUUACUGGGUGUAAAGGGAGCGUAGACGGAAAGGCAAGUCAGAAGUGAAAACCCAAGGCUCAACCA